GUGCGCGUGCGCGCGGUGUAGGUGCUGGGGCGUCGGGGGCGCGCCCGGCGUGGUCGGGCCCCGCGCGUCCUGACGGCGUCUGUCGGGCUAGUCCAGAGCAGCCCAACACGAGGAAGCCGAAAUGUCGCCCGAAGUGGCCUUGAAUCGGAUUUCUCCAAUGCUUUCGCCGUUCAUAUCCAGCGUGGUCAAGAAUGGAAAAGUUGGGUUGGAUGCUACAAACUGUUUGAGGAUAACAGACCUGAAAUCUGGCUGCACAUCAUUGACUCCUGGGCCCAGCUGUGACCGAUUUAAAUUACACAUUCCAUAUGCUGGGGAAACACUAAAAUGGGAUAUUAUUUUCAAUGCUCAUUACCCGGAGCUGCCUCCAGAUUUUAUCUUUGGAGAGGAUGCGGAAUUUUUGCCAGAUCCCUCGGCCUUGCACAGUUUAGCCUCCUGGAAUCCUUCAAACCCCGAAUGCCUUCUAAUGGUGGUGAAGGAGCUGGUCCAGCAGUAUCACCUGUUUCAGUGCAGCAGGCUCCGAGAGAGCUCUCGACUCAUGUUCGAAUAUCAGACCUUACUUGAAGAACCACAAUAUGGAGAAAACAUGGAAAUUUAUGCUGGCAAAAAAAACAACUGGACCGGUGAAUUCUCAGCUCGCUUUCUUUUGAAGUUGCCAGUGGAUUUCAGCAACAUUCCCACAUACCUCCUCAAGGAUGCAAACGAAGACCCGGGGGAGGACGUGGCCCUCCUUUCGGUGUCCUUUGAGGAUGCGGAAGCUACUCAGGUGUUCCCCAAGCUUUACUUGUCUCCCCGUAUCGAACAUGCUCUUGGAGGCUCCUCUGCUCUUCACAUCCCAGCCUUUCCAGGAGGAGGAUGUCUAAUUGAUUAUGUCCCACAAGUGUGCCAGCUACUAACCAACAAGGUGCAGUAUGUAAUUCAGGGCUAUCAUAAAAGAAGAGAGUACAUUGCAGCUUUCCUAAGUCACUUUGGAACAGGUGUCGUGGAAUACGAUGCAGAAGGCUUCACAAAACUCACCCUACUGCUAAUGUGGAAAGAUUUUUGUUUUCUCGUUCACAUUGACCUGCCCCUGUAUUUUCCUCGAGAUCAGCCCACUCUGACAUUUCAGUCGGUCUAUCACUUUACCAACAGUGGUCAGCUCUACUCCCAGGCCCAGAAAAACUAUCCCUACAGCCCACGUUGGGAUGGUAAUGAGAUGGCGAAGCGAGCAAAUGUGAAAAAUACUACCUGAGAGUCAGCUGCUCAACUAUGGAGGCUGCCAGGGCACCAGGCUAUUUAACAUCUAUUCUCCUGGAAGCGGUAAUUUGCCAGAGAGUACCCUGAUGCCCUGGAAGAUUUCAUGGGGCUUAUUUCAAAACCUUUGUCCCCCAGUUCCAGGAGGCAGCCUUUGCCAAUGGAAAGCUCUAGGAAACACCGGGUCCGGAGAGGAUGCCAGCCAGACUUCUCCGUCCACAUGCGUGUCAGCACACAAGACGAUUUCCUGGAAGCUGCUUGGAAGGUCUUCAUGGGAGCUUUUUGCCUCUGCAGCAGCUUUGAUCACCACAGACAUUAACUCUUGUCUAGAACAAAACUCAUCCUGAUUAAUGUAACCUGAAUAUUUUCAUCCUCUGCUGUUUGCUUCUCCAUUUCUAUUUUCUUUUUUUGGUCAGAGGAAAUUAAAAAUCACAACAUUAA